rnacentral:rRNA from 1 species
UAUGGUAUAACUUAGUGGCAGACGGGUGAGUAAUGUAUAGGRAUCUACCUAGUAGUACGGAAUAAUUGUUGGAAACGGCAACUAAUACCGUAUACGCCCUACGGGGGAAAAAUUUAUUGCUAUUAGAUGAGCCUAUAUUAGAUUAGCUAGUUGGUGGAGUAAUAGCCUACCAAGGCAAUGAUCUAUAGCUGAUCUGAGAGGAUGAUCAGCCACACUGGAACUGAGAUACGGUCCAGACUCCUACGGGAGGCAGCAGUGGGGAAUAUUGGACAAUGGGCGAAAGCCUGAUCCAGCCAUGCCGCAUGAGUGAAGAAGGCCUUUGGGUUGUAAAGCUCUUUUAGUGAGGAAGAUAAUGACGGUACUCACAGAAGAAGUCCUGGCUAACUCCGUGCCAGCAGCCGCGGUAAUACGGAGAGGGCUAGCGUUAUUCGGAAUUAUUGGGCGUAAAGGGCGCGUAGGCGGAUUAGUAAGUUAAAAGUGAAAUCCCAAGGCUCAACCUUGGAAUUGCUUUUAAAACUGCUAAUCUAGAGAUUGAAAGAGGAUAGAGGAAUUCCUAGUGUAGAGGUGAAAUUCGUAAAUAUUAGGAGGAACACCAGUGGCGAAGGCGUCUAUCUGGUUCAAAUCUGACGCUGAGGCGCGAAGGCGUGGGGAGCAAACAGGAUUAGAUACCCUGGUAGUCCACGCUGUAAACGAUGAAUGUUAAAUAUGGGAAGUUUUACUUUCUGUAUUACAGCUAACGCGUUAAACAUUCCGCCUGGGGACUACGGUCGCAAGAUUAAAACUCAAAGGAAUUGACGGGGACCCGCACAAGCGGUGGAGCAUGUGGUUUAAUUCGAUGCAACGCGAAAAACCUUACCACUCCUUGACAUGAAAAUC